GAUGAACGCUGGCGGCGUGCCUAACACAUGCAAGUCGAACGGAGUCCAGCCUUUAAGACCUUCGGGUCAAAGAGGGGAAGACUGAGUGGCGGACGGGUGAGUAACACGUGGGCAACCUGGCUCAUAGAGGGGGAUAACAGAGAGAAAUAUCUGCUAAUACCGCAUAAGCACACACUGCCGCAUGGCAGAGGGUGAAAAGAGAAUCGCUAUGAGAUGGACCCGCGUCUGAUUAGCCAGUUGGCAGGGUAAGAGCCUACCAAAGCGACGAUCAGUAGCCGAUCUGAGAGGAUGAACGGCCACAUUGGGACUGAGACACGGCCCAAACUCCUACGGGAGGCAGCAGUGGGGGAUAUUGCACAAUGGGGGGAACCCUGAUGCAGCGACGCCGCGUGAGUGAAGAAGUAUUUCGGUAUGUAAAGCUCUAUCAGCAGGGAAGAUAAUGACAGUACCUGAAUAAGAAGCCCCGGCUAACUACGUG
rnacentral:rRNA from 1 species